ACCUGGGUGGCUCAGUCGGUUGAGCACCUGACUUCGGCUCAGGUCAUGAUCUCAUGGUUCAUGGGUUCAAGCCCCGUGUCUGGCU
rnacentral:tRNA from 1 species